UGCAGAGAAAUUCAGUAGGGCAGUCGUCUACAUAUCAAAUAUCCUGUCUACUAGAUGACGAAUGACAGACCUCCCAGCUGGCAUAUCUACACUUUGCACAUUAAGGCCUGUUUCUCAUUCAUUCCCAUCGCAUCAGUAUAAACCAAUAAAACCUGACGGACAAAGCCCUGAUCAAAUAGCAGCACCGGGGAGGCAGCAGGAAAAGGAAAACUGGAGAUGAGACUGUCUCGCAGUGGCAAGCACUUGGCAAGUAAAAAUAGCUGUAAUAGCCUCAGGUGCAGUUUUCUCUUGUGCUCGAAGAAAAGAGAUGCAAUAAGAGGAAGGCGAGAGGCCAGGAAGGAGGGAGAGGAAACCGACAGUCAGAAUGAGAGGGGUCAUUGAGCACAACAGGGACACGGGGCCCUGCUCAGCUGGAGGGGACUCUGGCGAGGACGAAGCCACCUAUCUUAUGGUGACAAGCGGCAAAUGGGGGCCCAUUACCGCGCGGAAUGCUAAUGCCAAACUUCGGGCCCGGGGGACUGGCCCCGUUCCCCAAACACAAGGAGAGGAGACCUGCCAGGGUGCAUGCAUGACAGCUUCCAUUCACACCCACAAGUGCAAGAGAUAAUAACCGUAUAAAUCACAAGAGACUCUUCUUUCUCACUCCUUC